GCAGCCAUGUUGAGUGUCUUGCUCCGCCUUCAGCUGAGGUGUGGGCGCAGCCCUUUUCCACGAGGAGCUCUGGUGAACAAGUGCGAGUCCUCUACAUGUGGUGCUCUGCAAGCAAGUGAAAAUAGACUAAGCUCAAAGGAAAGAAAAGAUACUGGAAAAAGUUACUUGUAUUUCUGUCAAGCAAGCAAUUGAAAGCAGUAUUGAUUCUGAAUCUGACAUUAUUGUGGCCAGAAAAAAAAGUGGUGGAAAAGGGUCUUGGAUCAAUCCCAUAUGGACUAAUGGUAUAUGAAAAAAAUGUGACUUCAAAGAUGAAGAAAGAGGACGUGAACCAAGGAAUGAAGUAGCAUCUGCCAGCUGGAAAUGGCAAAGAAAUAGAUUUUCCCCUAGCACCUCUAGAAGGAAUACAACUCUGUGAUCCAUUUUGGACUUCUGACCUCCAAAAUGCCAAAUAAUACAUUUGUGUUGUUUUAAGCCACUAAUGAUGGCAAUUUGUUAGAGCAGCAAUAGGAAACUAAUACACAGAGCCACAGGUCUGAUAAGUACUGAAGCAGUGACUUUAGCUCUUUGUUUUAUUUCCAAUUUUCUGAUUUUCCUUCUUUAUAUUGCCAGCCUAUCUUUACAACUACAAGUGAAUCAAUGACAUGAAAGUUAUACUUUCAGUAUUUUAAAUUAUCUUCUUCUAAAAAUAUGCAGCUUAGAAUCCUACUAAAAUGUUGCUCCCUGAAAUGCUAACUUCAGUUUUUUAAAUAUAUUCUGAAUUUACUAAUUUUUUGAGCUGGAAUCCUCUACCCCUCCCCUAGCUUUACACAUACACUGGUCAUGCAUAAUUUCAUCAGCACCCAGCUCAAAAUGCUACUUUCCCCAUAAAUGUAGUCCUGAUUGUUUCAGUAUCUGUAACUCCCAGUUGCAUUGUAUACCAAUUUUACAAUCUUUUAUCAUAUAAUGCCAUGGGCUACAGUUAUUUAUAUCUGCCUUCUUUCUCUACUAGAUUGAGAGUUGCCUGAGUCUAUAAAUGAUAUUUGUCCCUUUUUUAUAAUUAUGAGUUCCUAGCCUAGGAUAUGGCUCCAGGUAGGUGAUCAGUAAAACUAAGUCUAACUAUGACUUCUUAGAACUGUGUCUUUAUAAAGCCAGCUCUCACCCAUUUAAUAACCUCUAGGUCCGCCACAAGGCUUUAAUAAAUAUGGUGCAAGCCCCAAAAAUGCACUUUUGGGUCAAAUAUAUUGAGUUCAAUCCUCUUCUCCACAAAUAUUGCUGAAAUGAGCCUGGAUUCCAUCCCAGUUGCUGUCAAAGAGAACUUUAUAGGCAACUCCUGGCUUUGGCUGAAGCCUUUAUCCCAGGGACUCAAAGGCCAUUACAGCUGCAAAUGCUUCAAAUCAUAACAGAAAAGGAGGUUGUAUUACUAAAUUAUGUGAACUUUUUUCAAAUUCAACACAUCAAUCAUUCUCCUUAAAACUGUAAAAUCUCUGUACAGUACAACACAUUUCUGAAGUAAAGAAAAAUUAUUUUGUAUUUUGCUGGUUAACAUUGGAAACCUAUAACUAUUUUUAAAAUUUCCUAUCUAGUAUCCUUACAUUAUUAGGUUUUGAUUGGAAAUGGCUUGUUAGCAGAUAACUUUAUUCUUAGUUGUUAUAGGUGCUCCUUUGCCUCUUCUCAAAGUAGACAUCUACAUUCAGCUAUUUUGGAAUUUUAUUUGAAUUCUUCUAAAAGUGAAUAUAUGAAACUCUGGAUCAAAUCCUAAUAGGUGUUUUAUUUGUCUUAUACUUUAACAUAUAGUUUCCUUAUACUACGUUAGUGCUUGUUGAAAAAACUUAAACAUGUAUGAUCCUUAUGAGAUGUCUGAAAGUCUGCAUCUAGAUACAGUAGAUAAAAUUUUCUAUAUGGAGUUAUCUUGAUUAAUGUAUAUGUCAACUGAAGAAUUCCAAAAAUAUAGCUAGACCAGUAUAGACACUUUAUAAUUGUGAAAGGGUUCUGUCAUGUUGCAAUUUUAUAUUUCAGUGACUCGGGUAAUUUUUAAAAUACUUGAUAUUAGUCAUUUCUUUUUAUACUUCAAGCAUCCUAUUCAAUUUGCCGUCCUAGGCCACUGAUGGACUCAUCUCUAAAAUCUUCUGAUUUGAAGAGUUUCCACUGUGGCUCAGCGGAAAUGAAUCUGACUAGUAUCCAUGAGGAUGCGGGUUCCAUCCCUAUCUUUGCUUAGUUAGCUAAGGAUCUCCUGUUGCUGUGAGCUGUGGUGUAGGUCACAGACAUGGCUCAAAUCCGACAAUGCGGUGUAGAGUGGCAGCUGCAGAUCUGAUUUGACCCCUAGCCUGGAAACUUCCAUAUGCUGCAGGUGCAGCCCUUAACAAAACAAAACAAAACAAAACCAACUUCUGAUUUGAGUGUUUGUGAUGGAGUGUUUAUGUAAUGGCAUGUUAAGAAAUCAUAUCUUCAAAGCUCAUUUUUCCCUAAAUGGUAACUAAAGGUUGCUGGUCCUUCACAAGCACAAGAUUUCCAGGUGAAAGCAAUGGAUGCUGUCUUGGACAUUUUGGCAUUCAGCAAUUGGGGAUUAUUCCUAAAUUGACUAUUUUAGGAUAUAAAGGCACCAUUUUUUGUGGGGCGGGAAGAGAAAAUAGUCAAACAUAUUUUGUGGCCUUGGAACUUUGUUGUUAGUAUUGUUGUUGGCCAACUUAUUUUCAAGUGCCUGUGCUCACAUAUUCAAAAUAUGCUGUUGUUACUGCUUUAUGUAAAAUCAUUAUAAUGUAGUGAAAAAAGCUAGAGUCAGACAAACUUGGUUUAAAUUCUCAUCUCUAUUCUUAAGUAUGUCAACUUCUUUGUUUGUUAAAAUAAAGAAAAGUUUAAAGUUUACCUACUCUGAUAUUGUGAGGAUCACAAGUGAUAUUUUACCCUCAGUUCCUCAUGUGUAAUGAGCAUUUCACAAAGUUAUUAUUAUUGCCUAAUUACAUAUAAAGAGAAAAAUCACGUAUAUAAAGAGAAAAAUUAGACAAACACUUUUCCAUUAUCAUUUGGGAAUUCACAAGUGAAUUAAGGUUCUUCAUAUCAUGCUUGACUGACAAAGAGAAGUCCAAGCUUUAAUGAAAGGCCAGGUUUGAAUAUUGUCAAACACUUUUUCACUAAUUUUUAAAUUGUGGUGUUGGAUGUAUUGCAGGAUUGUGGAGUGGGAUUAUGGGUAUGUUUCAAAUGGAAACAUUAAGGGAAUAAGGACAAAGGACAAGAUGGAGAAGCUGAAAAGCAGAAAAAUUUAGAUGGGAGUUUCAAAAACAUGUGCAGUGUAUCCUCAAUAUUAACUUCCCCUCCCCCAGAUAAAACUCCAGAAAAGUCUACAUCAUUUCUCAAUGUAUUUUAUUUUAAUUUGUUUGUGUGCAUGUGUGUGUAUGCCCACAGGCAAUUGUGUCUGUUUUCUUCACUAUAAUAAAAUACUAAUGUAGGAUCUAGUGUAGUUCAAAGACAUCCAAUUCCAUGUAGGUUAUACUUCUUGGACCCACCUAAAAUGAUUUUAUUAUAUAUUCGUACUUCAAUAAUGUUCAAUGUACUAUUAUUAAAAAUCAAAAAGUAGAGUUCCCUUGUGGCACAGCAGGUUAAGGAACUGAUGUUACUGCAGUGGCUCUGGUCAUUGCUGUGAUGCAGGUUUUAUCCCUGGCCUGGGAACUUCUGUGUACCGCAGAAGAAGCCAAUAAAGAAAAAAAAAAAAAAAAAA
rnacentral:lncRNA from 9 species